rnacentral:rRNA from 1 species
AACGAACGCUGGCGGCAGGCUUAACACAUGCAAGUCGAGCGCCCCGCAAGGGGAGCGGCAGACGGGUGAGUAACGCGUGGGAAUCUACCCAUCUCUACGGAAUAACGCAUGGAAACGUGUGCUAAUACCGUAUACGCCCUUCGGGAGAAAGAUUUAUCGGAGAUGGAUGAGCCAGCGUUGGAUUAGCUAGUUGGUGGGGUAGAGGCCUACCAAGGCGACGAUCCAUAGCUGGUCUGAGAGGAUGAUCAGCCACACUGGGACUGAGACACGGCCCAGACUCCUACGGGAGGCAGCAGUGGGGAAUAUUGGACAAUGGGCGCAAGCCUGAUCCAGCCAUGCCGCGUGAGUGAUGAAGGCCCUAGGGUUGUAAAGCUCUUUCACCGGUGAAGAUAAUGACGGUAACCGGAGAAGAAGCCCCGGCUAACUUCGUGCCAGCAGCCGCCGUAACAC